rnacentral:rRNA from 1 species
AGGACUCUCGGCAACGGAUAUCUCGGCUCUUGCAUCGAUGAAGAACGUAGCGAAAUGCGAUACUUGGUGUGAAUUGCAGAAUCCCGUGAACCAUCGAGUCUUUGAACGCAAGUUGCGCCUGAAGCCAUUAGGCUGAGGGCAUGCCUGCCUGGGUGUCGCCCAUU